AUUGAACGCUAGCGGGAUGCCUUACACAUGCAAGUCGAACGGAGUGGCGAACGGGUGAGUAAUGUAUCGGAACGUGCCCAGUAGUGGGGGAUAACUACGCGCAAGCGUAGCUAAUACCGCAUACUAUUGGAGCGGCCUAUAUCGGAUUAGCUAGUUGGUGGGGUAACGGCUCACCAAGGCGACGAUCCGUCGCGGGUUGGAGAGGACGACCAGCCACACGGGGACUGAGACACGGCCCAGACUCCGACGGGAGGCAGCAGUGGGGAAUAUUGGACAAGGGGGGAAAGCCUGAUCCAGCCAUGCCGCGUGUGCGAUGAAGGCCUUCGGGUUGUAAAGCACUUUUGGCAGGAAAGCGGUACCUGCAGAAUAAGCACCGGCUAACUACGUGCCAGCAGCCGCGGUAAUUC
rnacentral:rRNA from 1 species